CGAAUGCUGACAUAAGUAACGAUAAAGCGGGUGAAAAGCCCGCUCGCCGGAAGACCAAGGGUUCCUGUCCAACGUUAAUCGGGGCAGGGUGAGUCGACCCCUAAGGCGAGGCCGAAAGGCGUAGUCGAUGGGAAACAGGUUAAUAUUCCUGUACUUGGUGUUACUGCGAAGGGGGGACGGAGAAGGCUAUGUUGGCCGGGCGACGGUUGUCCCGGUUUAAGCGUGUAGGCUGGUUUUCCAGGCAAAUCCGGAAAAUCAAGGCUGAGGCGUGAUGACGAGGCACUACGGUGCUGAAGCAACAAAUGCCCUGCUUCCAGGAAAAGCCUCUAAGCAUCAGGUAACAUCAAAUCGUACC
rnacentral:rRNA from 1 species